GACGAACCGUGCGAACGUUGUUCGGAAUCACUGGGCUUAAAGCGCGUGUAGGCGGCCCUGCAAGUCGGGUGUGAAAUCCCACGGCUCAACCGUGGAAGUGCAUUCGAAACUGCAGGGCUAGAGUCCUGGAGAGGAAGGUGGAAUGCUUGGUGUAGAGGUGAAAUUCGUAGAUAUCAAGCGGAACACCGGUGGCGAAGGCGGCCUUCUGGACAGUGACUGACGCUGAGACGCGAAAGCGUGGGGAGCAAACAGG
rnacentral:rRNA from 1 species